GAGCACAUACAGAAAAGGUCUGCAUGGCUGUUUUUGAAGAGGAAAGAGAGAAGAACUUGUUGAUAACACAAGGACAAAGGCGCAAACACACUAGAAAGGGUACAUAAGAAGAAUUUAAGAUGGGCUCUACCACAGAUAUUCAGAUGUGAAGAAGAAAUUCUGCAGUAAGCACAGAAUAACUGGUGGUUUCUUUGCUCUGGGAAAACAGAAAGAGAGAAGAUGCAGCAUCAUGUCCCAGGCAGCCAGAGCCAGAAACAGCGAUCUAGAAAGAGCUGCCCAAAAGCACUGAGACUGGACCCCAAAGAAGACUAAACCUGAGACAGUGGGAAAGGUCUC
rnacentral:lncRNA from 1 species